rnacentral:rRNA from 1 species
GACGAACGCUGGCGGCGUGCUUAACACAUGCAAGUCGAACGGAAAGGCCCUGCUUUUGUGGGGUGCUCGAGUGGCGAACGGGUGAGUAACACGCGAGUAACCUGCCCUUGACUUUGGGAUAACUUCAGGAAACUGGGGCUAAUACCGGAUAGGAGCUCCUGCUGCAUGGUGGGGGUUAGAAAGUUUCGGCGGUUGGGGAUGGACUCGCGGCUUAUCAGCUUGUUGGUGGGGUAGUGGCUUACCAAGGCUUUGACGGGUAGCCGGCCUGAGAGGGUGACCGGCCACAUUGGGACUGAGAUACGGCCCAGACUCCUACGGGAGGCAGCAGUGGGGAAUAUUGCACAAUGGGCGGAAGCCUGAUGCAGCAACGCCGCGUGCGGGAUGACGGCCUUCGGGUUGUAAACCGCUUUCGCCUGUGACGAAGCGUGAGUGACGGUAAUGGGUAAAGAAGCACCGGCUAACUACGUGCCAGCAGCCGCGGUGAUACGUAGGGUGCAAGCGUUGUCCGGAUUUAUUGGGCGUAAAGGGCUCGUAGGUGGUUGAUCGCGUCGGAAGUGUAAUCUUGGGGCUUAACCCUGAGCGUGCUUUCGAUACGGGUUGACUUGAGGAAGGUAGGGGAGAAUGGAAUUCCUGGUGGAGCGGUGGAAUGCGCAGAUAUCAGGAGGAACACCAGUGGCGAAGGCGGUUCUCUGGGCCUUUCCUGACGCUGAGGAGCGAAAGCGUGGGGAGCGAACAGGCUUAGAUACCCUGGUAGUCCACGCUGUAAACGGUGGGUACUAGGUGUGGGGUCCAUUCCACGGGUUCCGUGCCGUAGCUAACGCUUUAAGUACCCCGCCUGGGGAGUACGGCCGCAAGGCUAAAACUCAAAGGAAUUGACGGGGCCCCGCACAAGCGGCGGAGCAUGCGGAUUAAUUCGAUGCAACGCGUAGAACCUUACCUGGGUUUGACAUGGAUCGGGAGCGCUCAGAGAUGGGUGUGCCUCUUUUGGGGUCGGUUCACAGGUGGUGCAUGGCUGUCGUCAGCUCGUGUCGUGAGAUGUUGGGUUAAGUCCCGCAACGAGCGCAACCCUUGUUCACUGUUGCCAGCACGUUAUGGUGGGGACUCAGUGGAGACCGCCGGGGUCAACUCGGAGGAAGGUGGGGAUGACGUCAAGUCAUCAUGCCCCUUAUGUCCAGGGCUUCACGCAUGCUACAAUGGCUGGUACAGAGAGUGGCGAGCCUGUGAGGGUGAGCGAAUCUCGGAAAGCCGGUCUCAGUUCGGAUUGGGGUCUGCAACUCGACCUCAUGAAGUCGGAGUCGCUAGUAAUCGCAGAUCAGCAACGCUGCGGUGAAUACGUUCCCGGG